AACGAACGCUGGCGGCAGGCCUAACACAUGCAAGUCGAACGCCGUAGUAAUACGGAGUGGCAGACGGGUGAGUAACGCGUGGGAACAUACCCUUUGGUUCGGGAUAACUCAGGGAAACUUGAGCUAAUACCGGAUACGUUCGCGAGAAGAAAGAUUUAUCGCCGAAGGAUUGGCCCGCGUCUGAUUAGCUUGUUGGUGUGGUAACGGCGCACCAAGGCGACGAUCAGUAGCUGGUCNGAGAGGAUGAUCAGCCACAUUGGGACUGAGACACGGCCCAAACUCCUACGGGAGGCAGCAGUGGGGAAUAUUGGACAAUGGGCGCAAGCCUGAUCCAGCCAUGCCGCGUGGGUGAUGAAGGCCCUAGGGUUGUAAAGCCCUUUCGGCGGGAAGAUAAUAGCGGUACCCGCAGAAGAAGCCCCGGCUAACUUCGUGCCAGCCGCCGCGGUAAC
rnacentral:rRNA from 1 species